UGCAAUGGUGCAAUCUCGGCUCACUAACCUC
rnacentral:piRNA from 1 species